UGCGCAGGCGGCUUGUUUAGUCAGAGGUGAAAUAUCGGAGCUUAACUCCGAAACUGCCCCUGAUACUGGCAAGCUUGAAUUAGGUUGAGGUUAGCGGAAUGUGACAUGUAGCGGUGAAAUGCUUAGAUAUGUCAUAGAACACCAAUUGCGAAGGCAGCUGACUAGGCCUAUAUUGACGCUCAGGCACGAAAGCGUGGGGAGCAAACAGGAUUAGAUACCCUGGUAGUCC
rnacentral:rRNA from 1 species